rnacentral:rRNA from 1 species
GUUGUAUGGUUAAGUGACUAAGCGUACACGGUGGAUGCCUUGGCAGUCAGAGGCGAUGAAAGACGUAGUAACUUGCGAUAAGCCCAGAUUAGGUAGUAACAACCAUUUGAGUCUGGGAUUUCUGAAUGGGGAAACCCACGUGCAUAAGCACGUAUCCUUACCUGAAUACAUAGGGUAAGGAGGCGAACCGGGGGAACUGAAACAUCUAAGUACCCCGAGGAAAAGAAAUCAACCGAGAUUCCGAAAGUAGCGGCGAGCGAAAUUGGACUAGCCCUUAAGCUUUACACGCGUUAGACGAACGGUCUGGAAAGUCCGACGAUACAGGGUGAUAGUCCCGUAGUUGACGACGUGUGUUCAGUGAAAUCGAGUAGGGCGGCGUGAGGGAAAGGCGAAAAGAACCCCUGUGAGGGGAGUGAAAUAGAACCUGAAACCGUGUACGUACAAGCAGUAGGAGCAGGCUUGUCCUGUGACUGCGUACCUUUUGUAUAAUGGGUCAGCGACUUAUAUUCAGUGGCAAGGUUAACCAUCUAGGGGAGCCGUAGGGAAACCGAGUCUUAACUGGGCGUUCAGUCUCUGGAUAUAGACCCGAAACCAGGUGAUCUAGCCAUGGGCAGGUUGAAGGUUGAGUAACAUCAACUGGAGGACCGAACCGACUAAUGUUGAAAAAUUAGCGGAUGACUUGUGGCUAGGGGUGAAAGGCCAAUCAAACCUGGAGAUAGCUGGUUCUCCCCGAAAGCUAUUUAGGUAGCGCCUCGGACGAAUACUACUGGGGGUAGAGCACUGUUAAGGCUAGGGGGUCAUCCCGACUUACCAACCCUUUGCAAACUCCGAAUACCAGUAAGUACUAUCCGGGAGACACACGGCGGGUGCUAACGUCCGUCGUGGAGAGGGAAACAACCCAGACCGCCAGCUAAGGUCCCAAAUUACUACUAAGUGGGAAACGAUGUGGGAAGGCUCAGACAGCCAGGAUGUUGGCUUAGAAGCAGCCAUCAUUUAAAGAAAGCGUAAUAGCUCACUGGUCGAGUCGGCCUGCGCGGAAGAUGUAACGGGGCUAAGUAGUAAACCGAAGCUGCGGCAAUGUGCUUUUGCACAUUGGGUAGGGGAGCGUUCUGUAAGCGGUUGAAGGUGUGUGGUAACGCAUGCUGGACGUAUCAGAAGUGCGAAUGCUGACAUGAGUAACGAUAAAGGGGGUGAACAUCCUCCUCGCCGGAAGACCAAUGUUUCCUGUCCAACGUUAAUCGGGGCAGGGUAAGUCGACCCCUAAGGCGAGGCCGAAAGGCGUAGUCGAUGGGAAACGGGUUAAUAUUCCCGUACUUCUUACAAUUGCGAUGGGGGGACGGAGAAGGCUAGGUGGGCCUGGCGACGGUUGUCCAGGUUCAAGUGCGUAGGCUUAAGAGUUAGGUAAAUCCGGCUCUUUUUAAGGCUGAGACACGACGUCGAGCACCUACGGGUGUGAAGUCAUUGAUGCCAUGCUUCCAGGAAAAGCCUCUAAGCUUCAGAUUGUAAGGAAUCGUACCCCAAACCGACACAGGUGGUCGGGUAGAGAAUACCAAGGC